rnacentral:lncRNA from 1 species
AUGCUCAAAAUUCUCCAAUCCAGGCUUCAGCAAUAUGUGAACCAUGAACUCCCUGAUGUUCAAGGUGGUUUUAGAAAAGGCAGAGGAACCAGAGAUCAAAUUGCCAACAUCCGCUGGAUCAUGGAAAAAGCAAGAGAGUUCCAGAAAAACAUCUAUUUCUGCUUUAUUGACUAUGCCAAAGCCUUUGACUGUGUGGAUCAUGAUAAACUGUGGAAAAUUCUGAAAGAGAUGGGAAUGUCAGACCACCUAACCUGCCUCUUGAGAAAUCUGUAUGCAGGUCAGGAAGCAACAGUUAGAACUGGACAUGGAACAACAGACUGGUCCCAAAUAGGAAAAGGAGUAUGUCAAGGCUGUAUAUUGUCACCCUGCUUAUUUAACUUCUAUGCAGAGUACAUCAUGAGAAACACUGGGCUGGAGGAAGCACAAGCUGGAAUCAAGAUUGCCGGGAGAAAUAUCAAUCACCUCAGAUAUGCAGAUGACACCACCCUUAUGGCAGAAAGUGAAGAGGAACUAAAAAGCCUCUGGAUGAAAGUGAAAGAGGAGAGUGAAAAAGUUGGCUUAAAGCUCAACAUUCAGAAAACGAAGAUCAUGGCAUCUGGUCCCAUCACUUCAUGGGAAAUAGAUGGGGAAACAUUGGAAACAGUGUCAGACUUUAUUUUUUGGGGCUCCAAAAUCACUGCAGAUGGUGACUGCAGCCAUGAAAUUAAAAGAUGCUUACUCCUUGGAAGAAAAGUUAUGACCAACCUAGAUAGUAUAUUCAAAAGCAGAGACAUUACUUUGCUGAUUAAGGUCCAUCUAGUCAAGGCUAUGGUUUUUCCAGUGGUCAUGUGUGGAUGUGAGAGUUGGACUGUGAAGAAGGCUGAGCACCGGAGAAUUGAUGCUUUUGAACUGUGGUGUUGGAGAAGACUCUUGAGGGUCCCUUGGACUGCAAGCAGAUCCAACCAGUCCAUUCUGAAGAAGAUCAGCCCUGGGAUUUCUUUGGAAGGAAUGAUGCUAAAGCUGAAGCUCCAGUACUUUGGCCAUCUCAUGUGA